rnacentral:ncRNA from 2 species
AAAUUCGCAAUUUGUAACACUCGUAUAAUCCCGUAAUCUGGUCGGGAGUCUCUACAGCUAACCUUAAAUUAGCUACUAUGGGUGAAGUGACCGGACUU